CCAAUUUUUCAAUGGUCCGUGGUUGUCAUGGAGGGAGGUCCCUACACAUGCUAAAGUUGGAAUGUGGAACAAAUUUGAGGAGAUACACACAAUUCUUCCAGGACAAUUGCAUCAUGUGCAUCAAGUUUGGAACAAGCAUUGCCAGCGACGGUUGACAACCUCAUUAGGGAGGGUCAGAAGCCAAAAGCUUCUGGAAGCAAAAGGAGAUUUAAAUAGAGCCCGUGAUAAACCCCCUAAUUGGAUCUCUAGAGAAAAUUGGAAUAAGCUAAUUGACAUUUGGAUCUCCCCAAAAUGGAAGAAGAAAU